UGCAACUAGUAAUUUAAAAAACUAUUAUAUUUAAUGUGUAUGCAUUUCUCAUUAUUUACAAUAUUGAUUUUUUGUUACAACUUCGUAAUUUUAAUAUCUACCUCUUGUGCUACACCUGUUCUUUCUACGUGUGCUACGCCUGUUACAUCUUCAGCUGUCACGUCAAUUCCAUCUGGACCACCUUCAAACAGUAAAUUUAUGAAUCUGGAAUGUCUCUGAUUGAUUAUUGAGUUCCUUUUAUUCCUAUUUAUAUAAUCUGUUAAAUACUUUUGUGUUUUGUUAUCUCUUCGAGUACUAUAAAAGGAAAAUCAGAUGUUCUAAGAUCACCUUAUUUUGUUUGGCAGUGUUUUGGAAUCAAGUUAUGGCAAUAUUUUGUGUAUAAAAUAUAACAAUUACAUUUAAAAAGUGCUUAUUACAUUUACAACAAUUACAUUUAAAAAGAGCUUAAAAGUGCAAAAACUUAAUUUUCUUAAGGGUUAGAUGAUGUUUCAUUCCCUCUCUGGCUCUCAAGAUACACCCUACAUCCAGGCACUAAAAUGAACUUGUAGCCCAUUAUUGCACCUAUCUUGUGAUACCAAGAUAUAGGUAUUUGGAUAAAAAUAUCAAGUUAAGUUUAUAGGUAGAUUAGUUACGUAAAUUAUUAUUUCAAACAUAAUAAGAAAAGUUUCAUUAUGAGAAAAAUAUAAACACAAAAAAGUGACUUUUUUGUGAUUUGUUUACAACUUUAAAAAUACUUUU